rnacentral:rRNA from 1 species
CAUUUCCUACGGGAGGCAGCAGUGAGGAAUAUUGGUCAAUGGCCGAGAGGCUGAACCAGCCAAGUCGCGUGAGGGAUGACGGCCCUACGGGUUGUAAACCUCUUUUGCCGGGGAGCAAAGAGCGGGACGCGUCCCGCCUCGAGAGUACCCGGAGAAAGAGCAUCGGCUAACUCCGUGCCAGCAGCCGCGGUAAUACGGAGGAUGCGAGCGUUAUCCGGGUUUAUUGGGUUUAAAGGUGGCGCAGGCGGAAGCGCAAGUCAGCGGUAAAAUUGAGAGGCUCAACCUCUUCGCGCCGUAGCAACUGC